rnacentral:lncRNA from 10 species
UCGGUGUCUUAACAGUCUCCAGUGUCCACGCGUUGACUGCCGUGUGUGACUCCAGUCGGCGUCUCAACAGUCUCCAGUGUCCACGCGUUGACUGCCGUGUGUGACUCCAGUCGGCGUCUCAGCAGUCUCCAGUGUCCACGCGUUGACUGCCGUGUGUGACUCCAGUCGGCGUCUCAGCAGUCUCCAGUGUCCACGCGUUGACUGCCGUGUGUGACUCCAGUCGGCGUCUCAGCAGUCUCCGGUGUCCACGCGUUGACUGCCGUGUGUGACUCCAGUCGGCGUCUCAACAGUCUCCGGUGUCCACGCGUUGACUGCCGUGUGUGACUCCAGUCGGCGUCUCAACAGUCUCCGGUGUCCACGCGUUGACUGCCGUGUGUGACUCCAGUCGGCGUCUCAACAGUCUCCGGUGUCCACGCGUUGACUGCCGUGUGUGACUCCAGUCGGCGUCUCAACAGUCUCCGGUGUCCACGCGUUGACUGCCGUGUGUGACUCCAGUCGGCGUCUCAACAGUCUCCGGUGUCCACGCGUUGACUGCCGUGUGUGACUCCAGUCGGCGUCUCAACAGUCUCCGGUGUCCACGCGUUGACUGCCGUGUGUGACUCCAGUCGGCGUCUCAACAGUCUCCGGUGUCCACGCGUUGACUGCCGUGUGUGACUCCAGUCGGCGUCUCAACAGUCUCCGGUGUCCAUGCGUUGACUGCCAUGUAUGACUCCAGGUAUUGAGUUCAUCUUCAACUUCUCCCAACAAUGAACUGGAGUUUUCUG